GGGUGAGCGGCGGACGGGUUAGUAACGCGUGGGAAUGUACCCUUCUCUACGGAAUAGCCUUUGGAAACGAAGAGUAAUACCGUAUACGCCCUUCGGGGGAAAGAUUUAUCGGAGAAGGAUCAGCCCGCGUUAGAUUAGAUAGUUGGUGGGGUAAUGGCCUACCAAGUCUACGAUCUAUAGCUGGUUUUAGAGGAUGAUCAGCAACACUGGGACUGAGACACGGCCCAGACUCCUACGGGAGGCAGCAGUGGGGAAUCUUAGACAAUGGGCGCAAGCCUGAUCUAGCCAUGCCGCGUGAGUGAUGAAGGCCUUAGGGUCGUAAAGCUCUUUCGCCAGAGAUGAUAAUGACAGUAUCUGGUAAAGAAACCCCGGCUAACUCCGUGCCAGCAGCCGCGGUAAUACGGAGGGGGUUAGCGUUGUUCGGAAUUACUGGGCGUAAAGCGCGCGUAGGCGGACCAGAAAGUUGGGGGUGAAAUCCCGGGGCUCAACCCCGGAACUGCCUCCAAAACUCCUGAUCUAGAGUUCGAGAGAGGUGAGUGGAACUCCGAGUGUAGAGGUGAAAUUCGUAGAUAUUCGGAAGAACACCAGUGGCGAAGGCGGCUCACUGGCUCGAUACUGACGCUGAGGUGCGAAAGUGUGGGGAGCAAACA
rnacentral:rRNA from 1 species